CACUGCCCAACCUUUCCUUUUUCUUCUCCAAGCCUCGGGAAGCCGAGGUGAAGCCUCCGUGCGGACGGCAGAUCGAAUGGCCGGCGACGACGAGCUCCUCGCCGGCGGGGGCGGGACCAUCUUGCCACCGCGGCUAGAGGACGCUGGCCUCGAGGACUGCGCGCUCCCACCGGAGUCCAUUGCAGAGGCCUUCUCCCUCGCCGCCAUGGCCGUCUCCUCCCGCCUCGGCCGUCUCCCCCUCUCCGACUCUGACGAGGAGGAGGAGGAAUGCCUCCUCGCAGUACCGCGCGGAGGCGGCUGCGUGGAUGACGCGGGACGCGCCCGAGGGGCCGUCCCCGACGCCCUCAUCACCGGCGGAGGCGGAGACGGGGGCGCCGACGAGGUCUUAGUCGUCGGCGGAGGGGACGGAGGAGGCAGCGACAAGGUGGUGGUCAGUGGGCGCGGGGAAGAGGAGGAUAGGGUCGUGGUGGUUGGGGAAGGGCGCGGGAAGAAGAAGCUCGGUAAGGAUGAGGGCUGCGUCGAGGGUGUCAGAGAAGGGGUCGGUGAACCGGCACCUGCGCGAGGCGAAGGGGACGACGAGAAGACGGCGGUGGCGGCGGAGAAGGCGAUCCUGGUGCCAGAUUUCGCCUGAGUUCGACUGGUACCACUUAAUUUGAGCAUGUCGUCGUAGCAUGGGCUAAGAAACUGCAAAUUCUCAGGAUGCACUACCAGGUUUGCUGGGAGCUUGGGACAUCUGUAGCCAUCGAUUGAUCAACAUAGAAUUCGACCAUGGGAACCGAGCCUUCUGUGUGUGCAUGAAUCGUGGUGUGUACAAUGUUGUGCAAAGUCCAGUUCAACCAUUUUCAGUUCUCAGUAAUAGUCAGGCAUGUUGUCCUCCUAUCAGUUGAUUUACGCUCAACCUUACUUAAAUAUUUAAAGGUUACCAAUAAUCAAAAGGAGCAGUAGUGGGAGUCCAUAAAUAAUGUAUUACUAGUUUGGUUGUACAGACGGUGUAAAAGCAAUGAAAAUGCAUCCUGGUGUGAUGAUGCAUUAUUACA